UGCUUGUGUGUUUAAAUGGGUGUGGUGCUAAGUAUAUCUUGUUUACCUUAUCUGUGGAAAAGUUUUGAAGUCUGGUUAGGUUUGUCACAUCAUGCCUGUUGCCUAGCGCUAUGAAAAGUGUUCUUAUCUAGCAGAAAAGAUUGGAUAGGUGGAGGUCGUGGCUUGGC
rfam:Callithrix jacchus chromosome 2, whole genome shotgun sequence